CAGCACCCCAAGUGGUCAGGAUGAUUAUUGGGCCUAAAGCAUCCGUAGCCUGCUUUGUUAGUUUUCGGUUAAAUCCAUCCGCUCAACGUAUGGGCUGCCGGGAAUACUGCAAAGCUAGGGAGUGGGAGAGGUAGACGGUACUCGGUAGGAAGGGGUAAAAUCCUUUGAUCUAUUGAUGACCACCUGUGGCGAAGGCGGUCUACCAGAACACGUCCGACGGUGAGGGAUGAAAGCUGGGGGAGCAAACCGGAUUAGAUACCCGAGUAGUCC
rnacentral:rRNA from 1 species